AAUCCAUAGGUUAAUGAGGCGAACCGGGGGAACUGAAACAUCUAAGUACCCCGAGGAAAAGAAAUCAACCGAGAUUCCCCCAGUAGCGGCGAGCGAACGGGGAGGAGCCCAGAGCCUGAAUCAGCAUGUGUGUUAGUGGAAGCGUCUGGAAAGGCGCGCGAUACAGGGUGACAGCCCCGUACACAAAAGCGCAUGUGCUGUGAGCUCGAUGAGUAGGGCGGGACACGUGGUAUCCUGUCUGAAUAUGGGGGGACCAUCCUCCAAGGCUAAAUACUCCUGACUGACCGAUAGUGAACCAGUACCGUGAGGGAAAGGCGAAAAGAACCCCGGCGAGGGGAGUGAAAAAGAACCUGAAACCGUGUACGUACAAGCAGUGGGAGCACCCUUUGGGGUGUGACUGCGUACCUUUUGUAUAAUGGGUCAGCGACUUAUAUUCUGUAGCAAGGUUAACCGAAUAGGGGAGCCGGAGGGAAACCGAGUCUUAACCGGGCGUUAAGUUGCAGGGUAUAGACCCGAAACCCGGUGAUCUAGCCAUGGGCAGGUUGAAGGUUGGGUAACACUAACUGGAGGACCGAACCGACUAAUGUUGAAAAAUUAGCGGAUGACCUGUGGCUGGGGGUGAAAGGCCAAUCAAACCGGGAGAUAGCUGGUUCUCCCCGAAAGCUAUUUAGGUAGCGCCUCGUGAAUUCAUCUCCGGGGGUAGAGCACUGUUUCGGCUAGGGGGCCAUCCCGGCUUACCAACCCGAUGCAAACUGCGAAUACCGGAGAAUGUUAUCACGGGAGACACACGGCGGGUGCUAACGUCCGUCGUGAAGAGGGAAACAACCCAGACCGCCAGCUAAGGUCCCAAAGUCAUGGUUAAGUGGGAAACGAUGUGGGAAGGCCCAGACAGCCAGGAUGUUGGCUUAGAAGCAGCCAUCAUUUAAAGAAAGCGUAAUAGCUCACUGGUCGAGUCGGCCUGCGCGGAAGAUGUAACGGGGCUAAACCAUGCACCGAAGCUGCGGCAGCGACGCUGAUGCGUUGUUGGGUAGGGGAGCGUUCUGUAAGCCUGCGAAGGUGUGUCGUGAGGCAUGCUGGAGGUAUCAGAAGUGCGAAUGCUGACAUAAGUAACGAUAAAGCGGGUGAAAAGCCCGCUCGCCGGAAGACCAAGGGUUCCUGUCCAACGUUAAUCGGGGCAGGGUGAGUCGACCCCUAAGGCGAGGCCGAAAGGCGUAGUCGAUGGGAAACGGGUUAAUAUUCCCGUACUUGGUGUUACUGCGAAGGGGGGACGGAGAAGGCUAUGUUGGCCGGGCGACGGUUGUCCCGGUUUAAGCGUGUAGGUGUGUGUUCCAGGUAAAUCCGGUUCACUUUAACACUGAGGCGUGAUGACGAGGCACUACGGUGCUGAAGCAACAAAUGCCCUGCUUCCAGGAAAAGCCUCUAAGCAUCAGGUAACAUCAAAUCGUACCCCAAACCGACACAGGUGGUCAGGUAGAGAAUACCAAGGCGCUUGAGAGAACUCGGGUGAAGGAACUAGGCAAAAUGGUGCCGUAACUUCGGGAGAAGGCACGCUGACACGUAGGUGAAGUGAUUUACUCAUGGAGCUGAAGUCAGUCGAAGAUACCAGCUGGCUGCAACUGUUUAUUAAAAACACAGCACUGUGCAAACACGAAAGUGGACGUAUACGGUGUGACGCCUGCCCGGUGCCGGAAGGUUAAUUGAUGGGGUCAGCGCAAGCGAAGCUCCUGAUCGAAGCCCCGGUAAACGGCGGCCGUAACUAUAACGGUCCUAAGGUAGCGAAAUUCCUUGUCGGGUAAGUUCCGACCUGCACGAAUGGCGUAAUGAUGGCCAGGCUGUCUCCACCCGAGACUCAGUGAAAUUGAACUCGCUGUGAAGAUGCAGUGUACCCGCGGCAAGACGGAAAGACCCCGUGAACCUUUACUAUAGCUUGACACUGAACAUUGAGCCUUGAUGUGUAGGAUAGGUGGGAGGCUUUGAAGUGUGG
rnacentral:rRNA from 1 species